rnacentral:rRNA from 1 species
GACGAACGCUGGCGGCGUGCUUAACACAUGCAAGUCGAACGGAAAGGCCUCUUUCGGGGGGUACUCGAGUGGCGAACGGGUGAGUAACACGUGAGUAACCUGCCCUUGACUUUGGGAUAACUUCAGGAAACUGGGGCUAAUACCGGAUAGGAGCUCCUGCUGCAUGGUGGGGGUUGGAAAGUUUCGGCGGUUGGGGAUGGACUCGCGGCUUAUCAGCUUGUUGGUGGGGUAGUGGCUUACCAAGGCUUUGACGGGUAGCCGGCCUGAGAGGGUGACCGGCCACAGUGGGACUGAGAUACGGCCCAGACUCCUACGGGAGGCAGCAGUGGGGAAUAUUGCACAAUGGGUGGAAGCCUGAUGCAGCAACGCCGGGGGCGGGAUGACGGCCUUCGGGUUGUAAACCGCUUUCGCUCAUGACGAAGCUUUGUGUGACGGUAGUGGGUAAAGAAGCACCGGCUAACUACGUG